rnacentral:rRNA from 2 species
UGGGGAAUAUUGGGCAAUGGGCGAAAGCCUGACCCAGCAACGCCGCGUGAGGGAAGAAGGUUUUCGGAUUGUAAACCUCUGUCCUCAGGGAAGAAAACAAUGACGGUACCUGAGGAGGAAGCCCCGGCUAACUACGUGCCAGCAGCCGCGGUAAUACGUAGGGGGCGAGCGUUGUCCGGAAUGACUGGGCGUAAAGGGCGCGUAGGCGGCUCUGUAAGUCCGGAGUGAAAGUCCAGCUUUUAAGGUUGGAAUUGCUUUGGAAACUGUGGGGCUUGAGUGCGGAAGAGGUAAGUGGAAUUCCCAGUGUAGCGGUGAAAUGCGUAGAGAUUGGGAGGAACACCAGUGGCGAAGGCGACUUACUGGGCCGUAACUGACGCUGAGGCGCGAAAGCGUGGGGAGCGAACAGG